ACGAACGCUGGCGGCGUGCCUAAUACAUGCAAAUCGAGCGGACUAAUUAAGAGCUUGCUCUUAUGAGGUUAGCGGCGGACGGGUGAGUAACACGUGGGCAACCUGCCCUGUAGACUGGGAUAACAUCGAGAAAUCGGUGCUAAUACCGGAUAAUUGUUGGAACUGCAUAGUUCUAACUUAAAAGAUGGCUCCGGCUAUCACUAUAGGAUGGGCCCGCGGCGCAUUAGCUAGUUGGUAAGGUAAUGGCUUACCAAGGCGACGAUGCGUAGCCGACCUGAGAGGGUGAUCGGCCACACUGGGACUGAGACACGGCCCAGACUCCUACGGGAGGCAGCAGUAGGGAAUCUUCCGCAAUGGACGAAAGUCUGACGGAGCAACGCCGCGUGAGUGAUGAAGGUUUUCGGAUCGUAAAGCUCUGUUGUUAGGGAAGAACAAGUGCCGUUCGAAUAGGGCGGCACCUUGACGGUACCUAACCAGAAAGCCACGGCUAACUACGUG
rnacentral:rRNA from 1 species